CACAAGUGGUGCCUUUUUAAUUUUACUCACCCGGGAGUGGGAGAAAAAAAGGUGCUACCCGCUGCGGUGCUUUUACUGAUGGGGCAGCACUCCGGGUCUUUGGCAGCACUUCGGCGGCGGGACCUUCACUCGCUCUGGGUCCUCAGCACCAUUU